ACGGAAGGCAGCAGUGGGGAAUAUUGGACAAUGGGGGAAACCCUGAUGUAGCAACGCCACGUGUGGGAAGAAGUAUCUCGGUAUGUAAACUUCUAUCAGCAGGGAAGAUAAUGACGGUACCUGACUAAGAAGCCCCGGCUAACUACGUGCCAGCAGCCGCGGUAAUACGUAGGGGGCAAGCGUUAUCCGGAUUUACUGGGUGUAAAGGGAGCGUAGACGGAGUGGCAAGUCUGGUGUGAAAGGCAAGGGCUCAACCUUUGGACUGCACUGGAAACUGUCAAUCUUGAGUGCCGGAGGGGUAAGCGGAAUUCCUAGUGUAGCGGUGAAAUGCGUAGAUAUUAGGAGGAACACCAGUGGCGAAGGCGGCUUACUGGACGGUAACUGACGUUGAGGCUCGAAAGCGUGGGGAGCAAACAGGAUUAGAUACCCUGGUA
rnacentral:rRNA from 1 species